rnacentral:rRNA from 1 species
AUUGAACGCUGGCGGCAGGCCUAACACAUGCAAGUCGAGCGGAUGAAGGGAGCUUGCUCCUGGAUUCAGCGGCGGACGGGUGAGUAAUGCCUAGGAAACUGCCUGGUAGUGGGGGAUAACGUCCGGAAACGGGCGCUAAUACAGCAUACGUCAUGAGGGAGAAAGUGGGGGAUCUUCGGACCUCACGCUAUCAGAUGAGCCUAGGUCGGAUUAGCUAGUUGGUGGGGUAAAGGCCUACCAAGGCGACGAUCCGUAACUGGUCUGAGAGGAUGAUCAGUCACACUGGAACUGAGACACGGUCCAGACUCCUACGGGAGGCAGCAGUGGGGAAUAUUGGACAAUGGGCGAAAGCCUGAUCCAGCCAUGCCGCGUGUGUGAAGAAGGUCUUCGGAUUGUAAAGCACUUUAAGUUGGGAGGAGGGGCAGUAAGUUAAUACCUUGCUGUUUUGACGUUACCAACCGAAUAAGCACCGGCUAACUUCGUG